GGUAAAUGUAUUCAUUGAGAAGGGUUCUUCCAAAUUGCUUCGAAGUUUUCUUAAUGAAAAGUAACGCUUGCAGCAAUCAACGGCUUUCUGACGGAUUACAAACCUGGACGGGACCGUGGGGUUGCAUUUAAAGCGCCCCGGGCUCGGCUCCCAAAGUGUCGGAACGGGGUCAGCACGGGGAGCGCGGGGCCGCGGCUCGGGGCGGGGAGCAGCGCAGGAAGGUGGGUGCGUCGAUGCCCUUAACGCCGUGCUGCGCCCAGGGAAAACGAGAGCGCGGCGCCGAGUAAGGGGAAAUCACUAACUCUGUACCCCGGGACCCACCCAAAGCUCCAUUUACAUCAGAAUGGUCAUUGUGCCAGAAUGGUGGGGAGAGCGAAAAUCCCGCGGCUGCAACGGUCCGCCGAGAGUGAAGCUUCGGACGUUUUAACUUCGAUUUUGUUAAUUAGUCGAAUCAUUAAGGGCCGGGAAGAGCGGGCCGGGGGAGGCGGCAUGCAGCGAGAGGGGAGGCUUCAUGCCAUGGCAGGGGUCUCAACAGCACCCGAUGGCACCCACAGAAGCUGCCUUUUCCAAGCACAUCCAUACCACCAUGGAGUAACAGCUUUGCUGAAGCCAUCCCAGCCCAAGCAGCACCACAGCAGCAGAUUAAUGAAUAUGUGAAUCACAGCUGAGGAGUGCCACUCUCACUGACUUCAUUAUGCAGAAGGUAGUAGGAAACAAAAAGACACGUGUGCUAACUCAUGGGCAGAAGUGCAGCACCAAUUCCAUGCCGCAGGCCAUGCUCUGGCUGACUCUACAUCUGCUCCCCAAGAAGUCAACACAGAUCACGGGCAUCUGAGGCUGCAGAGAGAUGGGGAUGCUGCAUGCACCAGAAGUGAUGUGGAAAAGGAGUUUGGAGAUUUGACAUCCUCCAGACAGGGCAGGUGCAGGGCUGCUAGAGAUGCUGUGUGCCCUCACCAAUGGGAGAAUCAGUGUCCUAUCUGCAUUUGCUCGAUGACAUGCAAAAUGUAAAAGAGCCCAGUUCCAUAUUUCCCAUCCUUCUCAGCAGGACAGUAGGAGAAAGCUGCACUCAGGAAAAGGGCGUGGAGAAUUCCUGGAGAAUUUCUUCCCUGUCACCUAAAUCUUCUCAGAAGACUUAGCUCAUGAGGAAGUUCUUUUUUCAGGUCGCAAGAAGAUAACCAAAACAGCCAAGCGAACCAAGUUCUGUGUCUGUAAGCAUCCCUGCUGUGUGGCUGCGUGGCAGCGCUCCGCUCCUUGGGUGCACAGCACAAUCUGGGGUGCCACAGUGAGUGGCGGGGCCAUCCCAAGCCCGUGCCAAGCACCUUCCUGCUGUGCCAAACCAUCACAGCUUCUGUGUAAAUUCAUUACACCAAGCACACAGCAGCUGUUUAAUUGCAGAGAAUUUAGGACAGGAAGUGAAGAAUAAAUCUGCAUCCAAUUGAAUGUGCA
rnacentral:lncRNA from 1 species